rnacentral:rRNA from 1 species
CCUACGGGAGGCUGCAGUAGGGAAUUUUCGGCAAUGGGCGAAAGCCUGACCGAGCAAUGCCGCGUGAAUGAAGAAGGUCUUCGGACUGUAAAAUUCUGUUAUUUGUGAAAGAAUGGUAUUACGAGGAAAUGCGUAGUAUUUGACGGUACCAAAUGAGAAAGCCCCGGCUAACUAUGUGCCAGCAGCCGCGGUAAUACAUAGGGGGCGAGCGUUAUCCGGAAUUAUUGGGCGUAAAGCGUGCGUAGGUGGUUGGAUAAGUCUGACGUGAAAUCCCUUGGCUUAACCAGGGAGGGUCGUUGGAAACUGACUGACUUGAAUCCAGAAGAGGUAAGUGGAAUUCCAUGUGUAGCGGUAAAAUGCAUAGAUAUAUGGAGGAACACCAGUGGCGAAGGCGGCUUACUGGUCUGGUAUUGACACUGAUGCACGAAAGCGUGGGUAGCAAACAGGAUUAGAUACCCCGGUAGUC